UCCAGACUCCUACGGGAGGCAGCAGUGGGGAAUAUUGCACAAUGGGGGAAACCCUGAUGCAGCAACGCCGCGUGAAGGAAGACGGUUUUCGGAUUGUAAACUUCUGUUCUUAGUGAAGAAGAAUGACGGUAGCUAAGGAGCAAGCCACGGCUAACUACGUGCCAGCAGCCGCGGUAAUACGUAGGGAGCGAGCGUUGUCCGGAUUUACUGGGUGUAAAGGGUGCGUAGGCGGCUUGGCAAGUCAGUAGUGAAAUCCAUGGGCUUAACCCAUGAACUGCUAUUGAAACUGUCGAGCUUGAGCGAAGUAGAGGUAGGCGGAAUUCCCGGUGUAGCGGUGAAAUGCGUAGAUAUCAGGAGGAACACCGGUGGCGAAGGCGGCCUGCUGGACUGCGACUGACGUUGAGGCCCGAAAGCGUGGGGAGCAAACAGGAUUAGAUACCCCCGUACG
rnacentral:rRNA from 1 species